CGUCUAUAUACGUAUAGCAUAUCAAUAAGCGGAGGAAAAGAAACUAACUAGGAUUCCCUCAGUAACGGCGAGUGAAGCGGGAAGAGCUCAAAUUUGAAAUCUUCAAGGUUCUACCUUGACGAAUUGUAGUUUAAAGAAGUGUUUUCUGUUGGAGUUUUGGUAAAAGUUCUUUGGAAAUAGGACAUCAUAGAGGGUGAGAAUCCCGUAUUUGACCAUUAUUUCCAGCUUUGUGAUACACUUUCAAAGAGUCGGAUUGUUUGGGAAUGCAGUCCAAAAUGGGUGGUAAAUUUCAUCUAAAGCUAAAUAUUGGCGAGAGACCGAUAGCGAACAAGUACCGUGAGGGAAAGAUGAAAAGAACUUUGAAAAGAGAGUUAAACAGUACGUGAAAUUGUCAAAAGGGAAGCGUUUGACACCAGUGUUGUUUUCUCGAAAAUCAAUUAAAAAGAGCCUGAUUUUGUGUUGUAUUAACUUUAAUCAGCUUCUGCACUUCAAUUUUCUUGUCUUCUUUAAUGCACUUUUCGUUUAACAAGUCAACAUCAGUUUCUUUUGUUGUAAAAGGGUCAUUGGAAGGUGGCUUUCUUUUCGGAGAAAGUGUUUAUAGCCUUUGGCCUCUGCAAUCGGAGAGAUUGAGGUCUGCAGCGUAGAUCCUUCUGGGAUUAGAUACAUUUGUGCUAAGUUAUAACCGUUUCAUAGACAACUUGUUGACUAUGAUCGAUCAUGUAGCUUACUCGCUUAUGCUAUUUUACCUACGCUUAGGAUGUUGAAGUCAUCGUAUCGCGC
rnacentral:rRNA from 1 species